rnacentral:rRNA from 1 species
AACGAACGCUGGCGGCAGGCCUAACACAUGCAAGUCGAGCGAGGACUUCGGUCCUAGCGGCGGACGGGUGAGUAACGCGUGGGAACGUGCCCUUUGCUUCGGAAUAGACCUGGGAAACUGGGAGUAAUACCGGAUGAGCCCUGUGGGGGAAAGAGUUAUCGGCGAAGGAACGGACCGCGUUGGAUUAGGUAGUUGGUGGGGGAAUGGCCUACCAAGCCGACGAUCCAUAGCUGGUUUGAGAGGAUGAGCGACCACACUGGAGCUGAGACACGGCCCAGACUCCCACGAGAGGCAGCAAAGUGGAAUCUCAGACCACGAGAGCGACCCUCAUCCAGCCAUGAAGCGUGAGGCAUGAAGGCGUUAGGGUUGUAAAGCGCUUUGAGAUCGAAAGAUAUUGACGGUACCGGCAGAAGAACCCCCGGCUAACGACGUG